rnacentral:lncRNA from 1 species
ACUUUCUAGUUAGUUGGCAGAGAGAGAGCACACCAAUGAGUGAGCACAGGCACAUGUGUCUUCUGCUUGGAAUAGCCCUUCUCAGGGCACCUCUGUCUGGAAUGGCCCACGUGUGUUCUGCCUGCUCCGGUCCACUGUGAUCCUGAGACUCUAAGCUCAGCUCCUGGCCCUCUUGGAGUGGCACCACCAUGCCUGGUCCCCAGCCUCCCAGAGCACCCAAGGGGGAAAGCUGUGGUGUCCCUGCUACAAAGCACAGGUUCAAUCAUCCAGCUUUGUCCUGGACCUGGUCUGGGCGCACCGUGCUGGAGAGAGACCUGGCCCAGCCCACCAGCACGGCUUCUUCAGAGGACCUUUCUGGUCUACCUGAUUCACCACAGCUUGAUCAUUUGCAGCCUGAUUUUGCAGUUCAUCUCUUUGUAUUCAUAUGUAUUCUGACUCCUCAUUUACCCUAUAAGAUCAUCUGAGGGGUAAAACCUGACCAUCUUCCUUGUUCUUUCCUAUCCUGGAAGGUCCAUGUGAUUUUUGACAAUGAAUAUGAUUUCUGUUUGUCUUUGGAA